GAGAUAGACAGAGGUCUUAACCUUAACCAUAGAGAUAGACAGAGGUCUUAACCAUAGAGAUAGACAGAGGUCUUAACCAUAGAGAUAGAUAGAGGUCUUAACCAUAGAGAUAGAACGAGGACUUUGUACGGCGUCUGUGACAGCAUGGCAGCACCAAUGAUCUCCAUUUUAAAAUAAUACAUUUUUUAAAUAUAUAUUUUUUUAAAGCAGAUAUUUGUGAUUUUAGCGCCACCAGAGUCCUGAACCACAUUUAGUCUUACGUUUAUUGUGGCCACUAGGUGGCGGUGAUAUAUCUCCUUAACAACCUAUUUGAAGAAGAAGAAGUCAUUUGCUAUGCUCAUAAAGGCUGAUCGCUCUCAAACCCCAUAAGGAUUCCCUACCCAGUUUGACUACUUUAAAAUGGUGGAAAAAA